rnacentral:misc_RNA from 1 species
AAUAGAAGAAACUAAGAUAAAGAAUUGAAAAGAAGAAAAGAAACUCUGUUAUUGAUACUAAGGUCUUCCUUCAAGCUUCCACAAAUCUACUCUCUUGAGUCUCUUUCUUUUUUUCAAAUUUUGAGAGAAAAAUGAGUGUUUAAAAACCCCCAAAUCUAUUCUUCUUCUUCUCCUCCUAGUAAAACCCCUCUAACUGACUCUUAUCUUGGCCUUUCUUAUCCUUUUGAUGAAUUGUCAAAGGCUGAUUGAGCAAAAAAGAGUUGAAAAUAACAUUUUCCAGGCAUAUUGUGCGAUUCUAAUGAUUCUCCUAGGCAGGUCGUGCGCCUUUUUACAUCUCCCAAGCAGGCUGUGCGACUUGGCCGAAUUUCACAAGCAAGUCAUGAGAAACAUUGUCAAAAAAUGACCUCACAAUUUUUCUCUUUUCUCUUUUCUUGACCUUGUUGCAAGAUUUCUUCAAUUCUCAUGGCCAGAGUGUGAGAUAUACUGUUUGAAAUACUCAAUUUAACCUUCAUAAUUUCUUUUUCUCCAAUUUUCAACAUUAGACGGCUCUUUUAACUCAAUCCUUGCAAUGAAAUAAUAAAAACUAAUUAAAUGAAAUAAAAUAAAUU